CUGGGGCAGGGGAAGGAGCCCCAGCUGCUCUUGGGAGCAGCAGCAGGAGGGGGGAAGCUGUUUGGAUUAUUAAAAUUUUUGGAGGAAUGCCUGUUGGCCGAAUUGAGGUCCAAACAAGACCGUAAACCAAAGUCAAUAGCACGGAUUUUAUUUCACUGUAAAUGAGACAGAAAUAGGAGAAGGGGGAGAUGGGUGGUAGAGAAAGGUGGUGAUAGAUGAGGUAGAAAAUAUCAGUAGUCCAUGGGUCCCAAGGACAUCCCAUUGGGCCUCUCCAUCUGGUGCUCUUGGUGGUGAGGAUCCCGCCAUGGGUUCAGUGGAUAAUUAUCCAUUCCAGGCAGGUGGGAAUCCCCAGGGAGGGGGACGAGGGAGGCAGCAAGUUUGACCAAGUCUGGCAACAGAUUCUGGAUCUGUCGCAUCACGUGCAGUGCUCUGGUGAAGGCGUGAGGAAAUGGAAAUGAAUCUUGAGGAGCUUUGGGGGUCUUUGAUGGUUUCUAGCCCCUCCUCAGCUGCCCCUCCCGUGUGUGUGGCCUUCCUGGGGUCAGGGUUUUAUAAAGGAGCGAUUUUAUGUAGGAGAGGAUGGGUGGGUGUUCACUGCCUAUGACCCAAAGUUGUGCCACACACCCAAAACCUCUCAGGGGAGUGUGUGAAAACCUCAUGGGAUUGGGUCUGAGGGCCAUGGGCUCUGCCACCCCAGACCAAACCAAAGCUGGUUUUCAGGAAAUCUGCUGAGUUUUGCUUUGUGGGGGAUCCUUUCUUCUCCCUCAGCCUUGUUUGCUUCUCUAGAUUUGAGAUAAUAGAUCAGUGUCCCAUUUCUGCAUCUCAGGUUCCCUUUUAGGUGGCUAAACUCACAGCCCAAAGUUCCCCUCAGGAGGCAUCCUUGGGGUGGGGUGGGUCUUUAGUGGUCGCGGGUUUUUUAUAAAGUUUUGCUAUGGCGGGCAAGAAAUCCUUCCUAGCGAACUUUGAGCCGUUGAGCGCAAUCUUUGUGUCUCAAAAUGGGGACGGAGUUGGGCGGGGAUGAGGGAGCUGGAGGCGGGUGUGGGCAGGUGCCGGCGGCAGCUCCUCCCGGCCCGCGCGGCCGGAUGUCCUUUGGAGCGGGAGCGGCGGGCGGAGCGGGCGCGUGGAGCGGGACGGGCCCGGGACAGGUUGCUGCGCUUGAGCCUGGGACCUUGUGACCAACCCGGAGUUGUGAUGGAGCAUUUUGGAGCAUCCCCAGGGCUGCAGGUUGGAACCUGUGCUGCAACAGGUUGCGGCGCUUGAGCCUGGGACCUUGUGACCAGCCCAGAGUUGUGAUGGAGCAUUUUGGAGCAUCCCCAGGGCUGCAGGUUGGAACCUGGGGUGCAACAGGUUGCUGCGCUUGAGCCCGGGACCUUGUGGCCAGCCCAGAGUUGUGAUGGAGCAUUUUGGAGCGUCCCCAGGGCUGCAGGUUGGAACCUGGGAUGUGACAGGUGAGGUUUUGGGUUGAGGCAGGUGCUGCCGAGGUGCUGGGGCCUGCCAGAGCUUUGGGUGUUCAGGCAGAUGUCUUUUGAUGGACGUUUCUCACGACCAGUGUGGCUUGGAAGGUGGUAACCUAACCAUCCAAUCCCUGGUCGUUGUCAGGAAUCUAUAAAUACUGAAACCACAGAAUAAAUUGCUCUCUUUUUCCUAUCACACCUUGGGCUGUGUCUGUGUGAAUCAUUUCAUGUCCAACAGCGACAACACACAGCUCUCUGUGGCUGUGCUUGGCUCCUGUCAGCUCCCGAGGUGCUGAUUUGUGGUGGGGGAAAGGAAAGGGGCCAGGGCCUCUUUUUAGUUUGGGUCCUUUUGUGUCUCUAAAUCUGGGUUUUUCUUUUGGUGCUGUAUU